AAGAAUGCCACAUUUCACAUGACAGUGUUCUUAAAGGGAUAAUGUGUGUGUGUACAGAGGGGGAAUGUGCUGGACCAAUCUGUGUAGCUUCCUGCUUGCAGAUAACCAUUUUUGGCUGGUCCUACAAUGAGAAUCAAUGAGUCAGUUCAGGAGGGAUAGCAGAUUAUACUUUUUAACCACUGCCGCCAGCAUUUCCCAUCACUCCCACUGGGGGAAUGCUUUGUUGGAAGCUGAAAAUGGAUUGCUGCUGCGUCUGGAGCUCUUUGCUGCUUUGAUGAUGACAGCUCCUCAUUGCUUGUUCACUGGCUUGUGAGUAUGUGGAACAUUAGGUGUACUUUGGCCCUCACUGCGCCGUUAGCAACUGCAGAUUCUCUCUUUCUCAUUUUUCUUGUUCAGUGUAGCUUUUAGAAUUGUGGAAACCACCUAAAUAGAUUCCAUGGACAAAGCUUGUUUUCAUUUUAGGAAGGUAGAAAGCUAUCUUGUGCCAUAUCCAACUUGUCCAGCAUUAUUUACUCGAGGGCUGGGCAAUUUGUGGCCCACUGGGUGCUAUAACUCCCAUCAUCCCUCAUAACUGGCUAUGCUGGCUAGGGCUGAUGAAUGCUGCAAUCCAACAAGUGUGGAGAACCCUUCUCAUCACAAGGACUGAGUGCAAUCUCAGAGAAGCUCUUGGAGGCGAAUUCCGAUGGUGGGCAGGGCUGAAGGGAAACAGGUUCGUGCAAAUAGGGUAGGACCCAACGUGCAAAUUCCCAGCAUAUGGUAGAUUAUAGCUUUUCAUACCAGUAACUAGGAUUUAGGAGAGGCAUUUGCAUCUUUUGGAAUGUGGAGAACAUUUUUACCAAGGCUGGGAAGCCACCCAAAGUUCAGAGGCAGGGGAAAGGGAGUUGGUUCAUGGCAAAGAGGAACCAACUGGGAAAUGUGGAGGGUCAGAUUUGGCCCCUGGGCUUGCAGCUCCCCACCGCUUAUACAGAUGGUGCUCGUACUUUGAAAACAAGAUGGAGGUUAACAUCUGGGAAAGCAGCUCUGUAAUACAGUUAAUAUUCAACUAUAUUACACCUCACCUCAAAUAUUGCGCCCAGUUCUGGACACUACACUUUGAGAAGGGCCCAUACAGGUAAACUGGAAUGUGUUCAGGGAAAGGCCACAAACCUUUUUAGACUUAUCCUUGUUUGGAGCUAUAAUUCUGUUCAUAUCUCCAAGAACCAGUACCUGUCCUUGAAAAUACAAUAAAGAUUUUAAAAAUGGAAUUAAUUAUCUGGGAAAUAAUUUCUGUAUUCAAGUAGAACCUGGAUGGCCAUUUGUCAGAGAUGCUUUAAACCAGAUUUCUGCACUGAACAGGGGUUUGGAUUGGGUGGUUAAUUGGCUUUUUCCUACUUUAUGAUUCUAAAGUAUAAUGGCCUUUAGGUAGUUGGGAGGCUGGCAAGACAAAAAGGAAUAUCAAACAGUGCAAGAAUGCUGAAUGUUUUUUUUUCCUUUUCUGACUUAUUUUAUGAACUGGCAUCUCUGUAUUUCAUACUUGGGCAGAGAGGCCUGUACUAAGAGUGGCAUGCAUUAUUAAGCUAGUUAAAAGGAAGUGAUGGGAGGGGGCAGGGGAGGGGAAGGGAAAACAAAGAACACCUUUUCAGUUAACUCUGAUAUUACAUUGUCUUCAUUCUUAAUUUACAUAAGGAGUAGGCAGUAGCAUGCCCAUGGGCACUAAUGCAUUCCUGGACAUCUCUCCUGGCACCUGCCAAAGUGUCUUAUCCUUCCUACCUCCUUUAACAAUGAACCAUUGCAAAUUCUGGAUUAAAUGUAGUUCAGCAUAUUGAGGCCCAGGCCCCGGCUCUGCUUUGCACCCAGGUCUUUUGGGCAGAUUGUUCUUUGCCAGGCGUCUGGUAGCAGAAAUUUUGUGUUGAUACCCAGGACUGUGAGUCAAAUUGGCAAAAAGCUUGCCUGCCCUUGUUUUACACUAGGGCCCAUAAUAGGUCCUCUUCUACCUUGCCCCCAACACAUCAUUUUGUUGUUGCUGUUGUUGCUUUUUGUGUUUAAUAUUCCAUUCCACCAGAAAAAACCCCAAAAGCUUCCUAUUUCUAAACUCUUUUGUUGGUUCUACUAAACAUCUUGUAAGGUUCUAAUAAGCAUAGAAACAUGGUGAGUAAGAAGGGACCUGCCAGGCCAUCUAGUCUGACCCCGGCUCCAGCUGGCUCUGCUCAUGUAAUAUCCAACAUGUAGUUGUUCAAUCUUUCCUUGAAUGACCUCACUAAAGCCACCCCCUCCCCAUGGAAGCCCAUUCCAUAUCCAGUGGUCCUAACCUGAAACCCGGUUCCUUGAACUUUGCCCCAUUGGACCACCUCCUUUCCUCCACUGCAGGGGGAAACAGGUCACAACAUGCUACCAUGUGACACCCCUUCACAUACCUAUAUACAGUGCUUUUUUUGUAAAAAGAAAAAAAGAAAAAAAAGGUGCGGGAACUCAUGUCCCUGCUGGCAGUAAGCACACACACCAAUCCCAAGCCAGCAUCCCAAGCUGCUAUCUCUCACUAUCAGAUAGCAGACACAAUAGCAGCCUGCAGGCACUAUGUUAAUGAUGUUUGCUGCUGAUCUGCUACUCUGUUCAAAAUCACUUCAAAAAAUCCAUUGAAAAAAAGGUGCCGGAACGCUGUUCCCGUGGGUUCUAUGACAAAAAAAGCCCUGCCUAUAUAUGAGUUUUUGUUCACAUACUUAAUCAGUGGAUUAUUUGGGACUGAUGGAGGAAUGCCUUGCCUUUUCUUAAAAACUGGAGCAUUGAUCAGUGUCUUUUAGCUUCUUUCAAGUUGCGAUGCUAUACUUGCUCAGGACACGAGUAAGUAACAUUGAAUGCAAUGGGACUUGACUCUAGGUAGAUACAGUACGUAGAGAAACAUGAUGUUCCUUUGCUCUGUUUCAACUUAACUGCAUCACAGAUUCUCUGUUGUACCCGCGGUGUUACAGACGAGGCCAGAGACCGGAUGGUAAAGUAAAGAGGAGAUUUAUUCCUGCAGCAGGGACCACAUUC
rnacentral:lncRNA from 1 species